AUUUAUAAUUAUAUUUAUUAAUAUUAAUAAAACCAAAAAAGUUUUCCUUUUAGGGGGAGGGGGUCACUUAAUGCCAUUUUAUCCAGAUUCAAGAUGUUUAUGCUUGUGCCAGAAGAAAAAAUAUCUUGAUAUGUUUAUAUUAACAGAAGUUUUACUUCUAUCAAACCUGACACAUUUAUGUAAGAAUCUAGUUUGGUACUGAGCUACUGUGCAUGCAUGUGAUUUCCUUAGUUGAGGUGGCUGGCAUUGAUGGUGAAAGACUUUAUACCUAAAUUUAGACUUUGGAGAAUUCAUGGUACAUUUUUUAAAGAAAGACUACAAGAGCUAUGCUUGUAAGCUUCCUAGUAUACUAUUCAUUGUUGGUUCAGAAAGAGAAAAAGGACUAGGCUUUCUUAACGCACUUAGCUCUUCCUUUAGCCAGAACCAUUGCUGUUAUAAGGAAAUACCAACUUCUUUAAGAAAGAGUGCUGUAGGUUGGACAUGAGGCCCUAUGUUUAUAAUCCCUGUUACCUGAAGAGACUGAGCUUUGGAAGUUCUGUGCUGCUAUAGAGUGAAAGCCAUUUGGUUGUCUGCAUGAAACUUGAUGCCUGUGGUGAACCCCAGGAGGGAAUGAGGAAACUCAGCUGCCUAUGAAGGGAUGAGCUGGUCCAGGAACAAGAGGUCAAAAUUUUGGUGUGGACCAGCAGUGGGAUCAGGCCAAUUAGUUGUCUUUUCAUUUCCAGCCUGCUCUAGAUAGGAAGACCCGGUUACUGCCUCUACCACUUUAUCACUCCCGAAAAAAGAAAGAAAAUAACUUUUAAGAAACUAAAAUGUUGUGGAGUUGGGAAGAGGGUAAUAUAAGAGUAUUAGCUUUUCCUUUUUUAAAAAAAAGAUAGUCUGAGUAGAGUGUAUAUAAUAGAGAAAAAGUGGUUUAUUUUUAGGUCUAGUGUUUGCCUCUUAUAUAAUGGCAUUUUCUCUAGGUUCAUGAACCUAGAGGCUAAAUCACUAAUAUUGCAGCCAAUAAUUUUAAUUUGUAAGAAAGGGAUUCUCCACCAAGAGAAUGGAUUAACUUGUGUUUGCUAAACUAUAACUAGGAUGGCAGAGAUUUCCUUUAGGCUGUCAGCUGGUUUUCCUUAAAAACUUUGCUAUAGAUAUACAUAUCUGUGUUGUGGGUUUUUUAAUAGUUUCAUAGGGUUUAAAAUUAGAAAAAAUGUUGGAGACCCAUCAAAUCCAAUACUUUAAUUUUGCCUAUGAGGAAACUGAAGCUCAUAGAAGUGUUUUAUCCAAGGUUACAUAUGUAGGAAGUUGUAGAGCUAGGAUUUAAACUCAGAACCUCUGAUUUUAAUUAUUGUAUUCUUGCCACUAUAGCUUUGGAUUUCCCCACAUACACACAUUUAUUAUGCCAUGUGGCUUUUUGUGACCUUGGACUUAAGCUCUCUGAACCUCAGUUUUUAUAAUCUAUAAAAUGAAGGGCCUGGCCUCUACCUCUUCUAGUCUAUUGAUGGAGUGGAAAGAGUCCUGCAUCUGGAGUCAUCAGCCAAGGGUUUAUAUCAUGCUUUCUGUGAUCUGCCAACUAAUUUAACCUCCCUGGGACUCGAGUUUCCUUAUCUGUAAAAUGAGGGUGGGACCAGAUGGCCUUUGAGGUCUCUUCUACUUGUAGAUCUAUGGUUUUAUGAUACUGAAUUGAUUGAUCUCUGAGCCUCAGCUUCCUCAUUUACAAAUUGAAGAUAAUAUUUUUACCAUUUAACUGACAGGAUUGUUGUGACAGGAUUCAGUGUACAUUGUGAAGUGCAACUUAAAUAACAUAAAUAACCCCCAACUUGGAAUAAUAUCAUUUUGGAACCAUCAUGAGUUGCCCAGCGGUGGAAAUCCUAAAUGGGACAUUUACUGGCCAGCUCAGAGGAUAGAAAGAAGCAGCAGAAUUGAUUUCAGUGACUGCACUAAGAAAUGAGUUAGGAGUACUUGCUUCAGGCAUUAAAAUAUCCUUCACAAAAGCUAUUAAACCAUUUGGAUGUGAUGUGAUUUUUUAAAAAAAUAAAACAAUCUUCUAA